rnacentral:rRNA from 1 species
GAUGAACGCUGGCGGCGUGCCUAAUACAUGCAAGUCGAGCGAACGGACGAGAAGCUUGCUUCUCUGAUGUUAGCGGCGGACGGGUGAGUAACACGUGGAUAACCUACCUAUAAGACUGGGAUAACUUCGGGAAACCGUAGCUAAUACCGGAUAAUAUUUUGAACCGCAUGGUUCAAAAGUGAAAGACGGUCUUGCUGUCACUUAUAGAUGGAUCCGCGCUGCAUUAUCUAGUUGGUAAGGUAACGGCUUACCAAGGCAACGAUGCAGAGCCGACCUGAGAGGGUGAUCGGCCACACUGGAACUGAGACACGGUCCAGACUCCUACGGGAGGCAGCAGUAGGGAAUCUUCCGCAAUGGGCGAAAGCCUGACGGAGCAACGCCGCGUGAGUGAUGAAGGUCUUCGGAUCGUAAAACUCUGUUAUUAGGGAAGAACAUAUGUGUAAGUAACUGUGCACAUCUUGACGGUACCUAAUCAGAAAGCCACGGCUAACUACGUG